CCGCGCGGCGGGCGGGGCGGGGGCCAUAUCCAAUAAGCGGAGGAAAAGAAACCAACCGGGAUUGCCUUAGUAACGGCGAGUGAAGCGGCAAAAGCUCAAAUUUGAAAUCUGGUACCUUCGGUGCCCGAGUUGUAAUUUGUAGAAGGUAACUUUGGGGCUGGUCCUUGUCUAUGUUCCUUGGAACAGGACGUCAUAGAGGGUGAGAAUCCCGUGUGGCGAGGAUCCCAGUUCUUUGUAAAGUGCUUUCGAAGAGUCGAGUUGUUUGGGAAUGCAGCUCUAAGUGGGUGGUAAAUUCCAUCUAAAGCUAAAUAUUGGCGAGAGACCGAUAGCGAACAAGUACAGUGAUGGAAAGAUGAAAAGAACUUUGAAAAGAGAGUGAAAAAGUACGUGAAAUUGUUGAAAGGGAAGGGCAUUUGAUCAGACAUGGUGUUUUGCGCCCUCUGCUCCUUGUGGGUGGGGGAAUCUCGCAGCUCACUGGGCCAGCAUCAGUUUUGGCGGCAGGAUAAAUCUGCAGGAAUGUAGCUUGCCUCGGUAAGUGUUAUAUCCUGUAGAAAUACUGCCAGCUGGGACUGAGGACUGCGACUUUACGUCAAGGAUGCUGGCUAAUGUUAAG
rnacentral:rRNA from 1 species